ensembl:snRNA U6 U6 spliceosomal RNA
GUGCUUGCUUCGGGAGCAUGUAUACUAACAUUGGAAAGAUACAGAGAAAAUUAACAUGGCCCUUGAGCAAGGAUGACACUCAAAUUCGUGAAGUGUUCCAUAUUUUA